AAAUACACACUUAACUCUGCGGUCACAUUAGCUACAAGCGACAGAAGCAAAGCGAUGACUUGCCGUUCGUUUUCAAUCAGGGCGGGCGUUU